AGUGAACGCUGGCGGUAGGCCUAACACAUGCAAGUCGAACGGCAGCACAGUAAGAGCUUGCUCUUACGGGUGGCGAGUGGCGGACGGGUAAGGAAUACAUCGGAAUCUACUUUUUCGUGGGGGAUAACGUAGGGAAACUUACGCUAAUACCUCAUACGACCUACGGGUGAAAGCAGGGGAUCUUCGGACCUUGCGCGAUUGGAUGAGCCGAUGUCGGAUUAGCUAGUUGGCGGGGUAAAGGCCCACCAAGGCGACGAUCCGUAGCUGGUCUGAGAGGAUGAUAGGCAGCAUUGGAGCGGAACCACGGACAAGACGACUGCGGGAGGGAGCAGUGGGGAACAGGGGACAACGGGGGCAAGCCUGAUCCAGCCAUACCGCGUGGGUGAAGAAGGCCUUCGGGUUGUAAAGCCCUUUUGUGGGGAAAGAAAAGCAGCAGGUUAAGACCCCGCUGUUCUGACGGUACCCAAAGAAUAAGCACCGGCUAACUUCGUG
rnacentral:rRNA from 1 species